rnacentral:misc_RNA from 1 species
CGGUAAAAGUGAUCAUAUUAUUGCUAGAGAAAGUGGAGUCUUUAUAGGCUUUACAGCAACAACUUGAAUGAAAAAUAAGAACUAAAAAUCUGUUGAAUAUGCAGAUAUUUUAUUCACCACUAACAAAACCAAAAAAAUGAAUAAUCCUGAAAGUUAGAAACAAGGAAACAUGAUACCUUUUUUUGACACAUUGCAAACUAAUUUUGAAUCACUCUUUACUCCUAUCGCUCCCCCUUAUUCAAAAUUGGAUAUAUCAAAAAUUGUGCAGCUUGAGCUGGGACAAAGACUUGGUAAACAGGUCUCCAACUUGUUCAUUUGUACUGCAAAACGCCAAGGAAAUUGUUCCACUUGCUGCCAAUUUUCGAAUGAAAUGAUGCCGGAGCUCAAUAUGCUUUGUUCUCCAUUAAAGGCUGGAUUCUUUGUCAUUGCAAUUGUAGCUUUGUUAUCACAAAAGAUUUUUGUUGCUGCAUAUUGCUCUUGGCUUAAAUCAACUAAAAUUCUUCUCAACCACAUAGGUUGACAUGCUGAUGAAGUUGCAGUAAUAUACUCUGCUUCUGAAGUUGAAAGUGCAAUGGUAUUUUUGCUUCUUUGAACUCCAUGAGAUUGCACCUGAACCAAGACUGAAACUAUAGCCUGUGGUACUUCUUCUAUCAUCCAAUGAACCUGCCCAAUCACUAUCAGUAAACCCAAAUACUGAUACUUUAGAGGACCAAAUUCCACAAUCAGCAGUCCCGGAGAUAUAUCACAAGAUCCUCUUAGCUAUUCUAAGAUGUUGUUUUGUUGGGCUAUGCAUGAACCUGGACAUAAUACUAACAGGAAAUGCAAUGUCAGGACGUGUAAGUGUCAAAUAAUUUAAUCCACCAAUCAACUUCCGAAAAUAUGUUGCAUUAGCCAUUUCUAUCCCAUCUUCAGAUUGCAAUUUCUCAUUCAAAUUCAUUGGUGUUGAUGCUUUGUUGCAAUUCAGCAUGUUGAACCUCUUGAGCAUAUCAAUUGCAUACUUGUGUUGGGAAACAAAAAUUCCAUCUACACCCUGUUUCACCUCAAGCCCAAGAAAAUAUUGCACCAAACCUAAAUCUGUCAUCUCAAAUCUCUUCAUCAUAGAAGACUUAAAAUUAGCAACAAGAAACUCACGUGACCCAAAAUAAAUAAUAUCAUCAACAUAAAGACAUACACUAGAAAAUCAGCUUUCCCUUGCUUCUUUACAUACAAAGUGGGUUCAUUUUCACUUCUUUCAAAUCCAUUUUCAAGAAAGUAGGUGUCAAUUUUGCUAUACCAUGCUCGUGGAGCCUUUUUAAGUCUGUAAAGAGCUUUUUUUAACCUGAAAACUUUAUCCUAAUGGCCAUUUACAACAUAACCUUCUAGUUGAAAAACAUAAACUUCGUCUUCCAAAUCUCCAUUCCAAAUGACAAAUUUUACAUCAAAUUGAAAAACAGGCAAAAAUAAUUGAGUAGCUAAGGCAAGCAAAACUCUUACUAUUUCAAAGCAAGCAACAAGAGAGAAUGUUUCUUCAAACUCAAUGCCUUGUUGUUAAGCAUACCCCUUUGGCAUAAAUCUAGCCUUAUGUUUAUGUAUAUUUCCAUCUGCAUGGUACUUUGUUCUGAACGCCCACUUAAGCCCAAUUGCAUUCUUCCUUUCAGGCAAGUCCACCAAUUCCCAAGUCUGAUUUUUCUGAAUUGCAGCCAUCUCUUCUUUCAUAGUAGUGCACCAUUCUUUCAUUUUUGAUGCUUCCUCAUAGAGUAUUAGAUUUGAAACAUACAAAGCAAAAGAACAAGAUGCAUAAAUGUCUCUCAAGGACUUAAAUUUCCUUGGGGAGUUUCAUUGGAUGAGGAGGUACUAGAGCUGAUGGGACUUGAAAAACUACUACCCCAAGGAGAGGAAUUUUCUGAAUGUGAAGGCAAUGGAUCAGAAACAUCUUCUAAAGCUGGAAUUUGAUCACUGUUUUGAGAGCUUCCCUAAUCCCAUUUUGCAUCUUCAUCGAACACCAUAUUUUUGCUAAUAAUAAUCUUGCCACUUAAAGGGUUAUACAGCCUAUAUGCUUUAGAUUGAGGACAAUAGCCAACAAAGAUACAUUUUUCAGAUUCUUCAUCCAGUUUGUGAGAAUAUUGAGAGCUUACUAAAGCAUAGGCUACAUAACCAAAAAAUUUUUAAGUGGCUAAUAUGAGGUCUCGUACCUUUCUAAUCUUGAUAUGGAGUCUUAUUCAAAACUGCCUUUGUAAGAGAGAUAUUCAACAAAUACACUGUUGUUGCAAUUGCUUCAGCCCAAAAAGAAUUAGGAAGACAUUUAGCCUUUAGUAAGCUUCUAGCCAUUUCCAAUACUGUUCAGUUCUUUCAUUCAACGACACCAUUCUGCUUUGGUGUAUGUGGUGCAAUAAGCUCCCUAUGAAUGCCACAUUCUUCACAAAAAAAUCAUUAAAUUCAAUGGAAAUAAACUCAUCACCUCUGUCAGUUUGAAGACACUUGAUACUAUUGCCUGUUUGAUUCUCCACAAGUGCCUUAAAUUUCUUGAAAUUAGCAAGAGCUUCUGAUUUAGAUCUCAAAAAAUAAACCCAAUUCAUGCAGCUAUAAUCAUCAAUAAGCAACAAAAAAUAUAAACUUCCACUUCAUGGGCCAACAUAAAUCAGCAUGCAAAAAUUCAAGACAAUUAUUAGGCCUCCUUGAUUUUCCUAUGGGAAAGGAUUUUCUACUUUGUUUUCCCAAAACACACCCUUCACAAAAUUCAAAAGAGUAAUUUUAGGUAGUCCAAUCACCAUUUCUUUUUAACUCAACAACCUUAAUCAUAUUUUCAUUCAAAUGCCCAUAAUGCAAAUGCUAUAAUUUAGACUCGCUGUUUCCCUAACAACAAAGGCAGAACUAUUAAACUAAGAGACUUCAAGUGGGAACAUUUUGUUUUGUGCCAUUUUAACAUUAAAUAUGGUGUGGCCUGAAUUUUUUUCUGGAAUGGUGCAUGAAUUAUUAUUAAACAAAAUUAUAUACCCAGUAGCUAUCAAUUGCCCAACACUUAACAAGUUAUGAGCUAAAGCAAGAACAAAUUAUACAUCAUGAAGAAGCUUAGUGUUACCAUAGUCUGUUUUGAUGGCAAUUGUACCUUUCUCUUCAACUUGUAUUUGCAUAUCAUCACCCUGCCGCACCUCUGAUUUAUGCAUCUCAUCAAGCUCUUUAAAAAAUUAUUUUGCACCUGACAUAUGAUUAGAGCAACUGCUAUCCAAAAACCAAACAACAUCUAUAAUAUUUUUAUCAUAAGAAUGAGCCAUAAACAACAUACUCUCUUCAUCUGCAAAGUUUGCUUGAUUCCCUUCCUUUCUUUACUUGGUCCAACAAUCAGCUUCUUUAUGCCCCAAUUUCCCACAGUAAUAGCAAUCAAUUGAACUCUUGGCAUGAGUCCUUUCAUUUCUUUGCUUGAUCUAGCAAUCAGCUUCUUUAUGACCUAAUUUCCCAUAGUAAUUGCACUUGAUUGAACUCUCAUUAUUCUUGGACUAACCUUGUUCGCUAGAUUGUCUGCUUUGUCCCUUUCCAUCACGACCUUAGCCAUGAUAUCCACCACAAAAUCCACCUCUGCUUGGUGCUUUGUCAUCUGAUUUUGUGGUUUGAGAGGAUCCUCCUUUCACUUGAAAUGCCCUUUUUUCAUUUUCUUUACUUCUAAUCUAUUCAACCUGUCCUCAUGAGCUUGCAAAGAACCCAUCAAUUCAUCAAAUGAAAAAACUGACAUAUCUUUGGACUCCUCAAUUGCAGCUACAACGUGAUCAAACUUAGGAGUAAGACUCCUUAAAGCUUUUGAAACAACAGUUUGAUCAGAUAUUUGGUCUCCAUAUGACCUCAUUUGACUAAUAAUUGCCAUCACUCUAGACAAAAAAAUCUUGCACUGAUUCAUUGCCCUUCAUAAGUAAAGUUUCAAACUCAUGCCAUAGAGUUUGGAGUUUCACGGCUAUUACCUUUGAUGAGCCAUGAAACUCAAUUUGCAAAAUUGUCUACACCUGCUUGGAAGCGGUAGCUGCUGCGAUUCUUGAGAAAACAGUCUCAUGAACUGCUUGUUGAAUGAAGAUCAGUGCCUUGGAGUCCUUCCUUCGAUUUUCCCUCAAGCGAUUCUCUUUAUCUGGAUCAGCAAACCCAUUCUCUACUAAGUCCCAUAGGUCUUGAAAAUUAAAUAGAGUCUUCAUUUUGAUGCUCCAAAACUGAUAACUCUCUCCUUUGAAAAUGGGGAUGGCAGGUUGUGCAAUAUUUAGUGAAUUCCCAUUUGAAGCCAUGGAGCCUUCUCAAGACUUUUGUCAAACACUUGGUGAGCAACACUACCAGGCUCAUCUUCAUCAUCAUGUAAAGAAAGAUCAAGAUUCCCCGAAUGAUUUAACGAAACAGAAACUUCAACUUGUCCUUGUUAUCUAGCCAAGCGAGCAAAGGGAAAACUGGCCAAUGAAUCUGAGAUGGGUUUGCAGGAAAUUCGUGGAGAUGUAGAGGUAAAAAUCUGUAUCGGUGAAAGAAAGUGUGGGAAAAGGGGUUUAAUGGUGUUACCUAAGAAAGGCAACUAUGUUUAGGAGGUCUCUUCUGAAAGUGCUGUAAUGUAGUGUGAGACGGUUAAACAUAGAAUUGUCCUUUUUUCUUCUUCCUCUUUUUCUUCUUCACAUACUGC